rnacentral:rRNA from 1 species
GUAAGCUCCUCGACGAGUCGAGUAGUGGAUGCUGCUCUAAUUGGAGUUAAUUCUCUAAAGCUAAUACGGCAGAGACGAUAGCGCACAGUAGAGGAUCGAAAGAUGAAAGCACUUGAAAGAGGUAAAUAGCACGUGAAAUGUGAAAGGGAGCGUUACGACCAGACUUUUCCAGGCGGAUCAUCCGGUGUCUCACCGGUGCACUUCGCUGGUUUAGGCCAGCAUCGGUUUUCGUAGGGGAUAAAAGCUUCGGGAAAGUAGCUCCCUCGGGAGUGUUAUAGCCCGUUGCAUAAUACCCUUAUGGGGACCGAGGAUCGCGCUCUGCAAGGAUGCUGGCAUAAUGGUCGUCAACGACCCGUCUUGAAACACGGACCAAGGAGUCGAACAUUUGUGCGAGUGUUUGGGUGUUAAACCCUCACGCGUAAUGAAAGUGAACGGAGGUGAGAGCCCUUACGGGUGCAUCAUCGACCGAUCCUGAUGUCUUCGGAUGGAUUUGAGUAAGAGCAUAACUGUUCGGACCCGAAAGAUGGUGAACUAUGCGUGGAUAGGGUGAAGCCAGAGGAAACUCUGGUGGAGGCUCGCAGCGGUUCUGACGUGCAAAUCGAUCGUCAAAUCUGCGCAUGGGGGCGAAAGACUAAUCGAACCAUUGAGAAACCAGCGGUAAAAUAUUAUUUACUAGGUGGUUAAGAGGCCCCCCGAGAGGGGGGGCCUAGGUCUCACCUACCCUGCUACAGUUUACCCUGUAGCAAACUACCCUGGAACCACUUACCCUGUAAGAGCCUACCCUGUAGGCGGUUACCCUGGAGUUAUGGGUGGGGGACCGACACCGCUAAAUUGCGGGGACAUCCUAUCUAAGGCCACAGGCUACCGCUGGGCGCUGAAAAGCGUGCUGGCAACCGAGAAUAGCGCUCUCGGGUACGGUAAUAACGCCUGUGGUAGCGGACGACCUGCAGCCAACCCCGUUUUCAGGGGAGAGUUCACUGACUAGACAGCGGUGGGUCGGCCCUCGUGGCCGGCCUAAGACAUAGUCGAUCCGGGCCCUGAAAAGGAACCCCUAAUACGAAAAUAGCGAGCAGGGC